AAAGGUUUCUUUAAUUCAAUGGAUAAAUAUUUGAGGAACCACCAGGAAACAGGUGUGGCUGCAAAGAGUGAGCAAGGUGAAGAGGUGGGAGAAGAGGAGAGAAGGAAGGUGAAGGGCCUUGUGGGUUUCUGCCCCAAAGAGUCGCCCAAAGGGAAAGAGAAAACACCCCGCCCCGAUCUCUGGGACCGUGUAUACCAUGCAAAGCUGCGGGUAACCAAGGUAGCCUCCCGCGCUCUGGAGGGUCCCAGGAGGGCGCCAAGGCGGAGGAGCGCUCUCUGCCCCGCGCCCAAGGGACCGCAGCUUGGUUCAGUCACUGGGUUUGAAAAGUAGUGCCCGGUCUGCCACGAGCCAGGCUGCAUGCUCCAGGCACUCCGGAGACCCUGGAGAAGCUCCUCAGAUGUCUCCACCUUCUGCCUCCGACCCAGCACGAGUCUGCACCGUGGAGCGCCACCUGCACGCAGCAGCCCCGAAGAAGAGGCGUGUCCCCAUCUUACAGAGGCGAAAACUGAGGAUUAGACGCUACAGGGCCCACAGCGAGUCCGUGACGGAUUUAGGGGUCAAAUCUCUUUACAUAACGGCAAAAACACUAAAAAUCACAGCAGCUAACCUUUGUCCAGCGCUUACUGCGUUCACUGCACUUGGCAUGCAUUGUCUCAUUUCAUUUGUCAACACCUCCAAGGGUGGGUAGGUCAAUCCUUCUUCUUCUUUUUCUUUUCUUUUUUUUUUUACAAAUAAGGGGCUGUUAGGUUUGGGGGACUCCCCCAAGGCAUAGGGUGCUGGAAUUUGAACACAAGUCUGCUCAGAGCUUGUCUCAAGGUGCCCUUGAAUGACAGACUGUUCCAAGAAAGCCUGAACUUGCAAACACAGGGAGAAAAUGAGUUGUUUUUGUUUUUUUGAGAGGAGGUCCCGGGAGGUCCAAAGGCCUCCACAGCUCUCCGCUUUAACGUGGCUCCCUCUUUUCCUUUGGAUUCCCGCGCGCUCAAUCGGGUGACCCGUGGGAAAAGGGAGAAAUCCGAAAGAAGGAAAGGCGAGCGAAACAGACCCGGCAGCUUCCGCUCCGGAGCGGGGCGCACGGCGGCCAGGACCCCGCAGCCCCGGGGGCCGUCGGGAGCCCCGCCCC
ensembl:lncRNA